AUCCUGCUAAUGAGUCCCAGACAGGACGAAACGCGCUUCCUGAAU
rnacentral:hammerhead_ribozyme from 1 species